UACAGAGGUCUCAAGCGUUGUUCGGAUUCCUUGGGCGUAAAGGGUGCGUCGGUGGCGCCGUCAGUCGGGUGUGAAAUUUCGGAGCUUAACUCCGAAACUGCAUUCGAUACUGCGGUGCUUGAGGACUGGAGAGGAGACUGGAAUUCAUGGUGUAGCAGUGAAAUGCGUAGAGAUCAUGAGGAAGACCAGUGGCGAAGGCGGGUCUCUGGACAGUUCCUGACACUGAGGCACGAAGGCCAGGGGAGCAAACGGG
rnacentral:rRNA from 1 species